rnacentral:rRNA from 1 species
AUUGCCUUAGUAACGGCGAGUGAAGUGGCAAAAGCUCAGAUUUGAAAUCGGGUGUUUUAUAGACACUUGAGUUGUAAUCUGUAGAGGAGUUUUCAGAGGAUGACUAUGGUUAAAGUGCCUUGGAAAAGGACAUCAUAGAGGGUGAGAAUCCUGUUUAUGGCCUUAGUACUUCUCUAUUAUGAAUCUCCUUCAAUGAGUCGAGUUGUUUGGGAAUGCAGCUCUAAAUGGGUGGUAAAUUCCAUCUAAAGCUAAAUAUUGGCAAGAGACCGAUAGCGCACAAGUAGAGUGAUCGAAAGAUGAAAAGAACUCUGAACAGAGAGUUAAAAAGUACGUGAAAUUGUUGAAAGGGAAGCACUUGUGACCAGACAAAUUCGCAAUUAAUCAGCCAGUCAAUUUUUGGUGGUGCACUUAAUUGUGAGUGGGUUAGCAUCAGUUAUAAUAGUGGGAAAAAGACUGGAGGAAUGUAGCUCCUCUUUGAGGAGUGUUAUAGCCUAUGGUUUAAUACUACUUAUUAUGACUGAGGAUUGCGCUUUUUGAGUAAGGAUGCUGACAUAAUGGUCAUAAGUGACCCGUCUUGAAACACGGACCAAGGAGUCUAACAUCUAUGCGAGUGUUUGGGUCAAAGCCCUUACGCACAAUGAAAGUGAAUGAAGGUGGGAACCUUCGGGUGCACCAUCGACCGAUCUUGAUGUUUUCAGAUGGAUUUGAGUAGGAGCAUAGCUGUUGGGACCCGAAAGAUGGUGA